UUGCUGAAACCCAGGCCGGUCUGUCCCUGAACCGCCACGGGAACCGGACAAAGAACCGGCGCCGUAGAAGGAGAAGUGGGGGCGGCUGCGUCCGUGGCCUCCCCCCGUUUCCUCCUCUUCGGUGAGGAGGAGGAGGAGGAGUAGGAGGCGGAGGAGCUGUAGGAAGAUGACGAGGUCGAGGAAGAGUAGGAGGAGCUGGGCUCCGGAGAGGCUCGCUUCGAAGGGGACGGCACAGGGGAAGUGGCCCUGGCCGCAGCCUCCUCGGAGCCGAUCCGGAGCGGGAAGUUGAGCAGGGCCCGGGAGCCCCGCAUCCGGUAGGCGGCGCGGUCGUAGGCGAGGGCCG
rnacentral:lncRNA from 1 species